AUUUUGAAGAUACCAUUCUGGAUGUCAAUUAUCCUGAGCUUAAAUCAAGAAAAUAAAUUCUACAGUAAUUCAAAAAGUUGACUCCAAAUUUCAGUACACAGUAGCAAUGUUGCUCAAAUUCACUCAAGCAAACACACCAUUCUCAACGCUUGUGUGUGUCGUACAAAACUUCCACACACACACAAGAAUUCAGUAUCCCCCAAACAACCUGUGAUCAAACAAAAUUAAAAACAAUACAUUUAAACACCUGGCUAAUCAACUCAUUCUUGUAAUUUCAUGACAAACCUACAAAAUCCCCACUGGGCCUCACCCACUUGUAGACACACAGGGCACUUGUCAAUCUCCUCGUUGCUGCACUAUUUUGCUCAUGUAAGAGGAAUUGUAAAUACAACGAAAAUGGUGUGGCCCCACAGGAGCGUUGGGAGUAUAGGAUGACAUCAGUGGAUGAAUGAUGACGUGGUUCUUCUGUGCAUCCAACAUGUCCAGAUCGGGAAUGGGACCAUGUCAGCCAGCCACCACGAGUUCAAUGAAUCUGGAAAGGGAGAGUGGACAAUGUGGACAUACCCCACAAUUUCCACGCUC
rnacentral:lncRNA from 1 species